rnacentral:rRNA from 1 species
AUGGGGCUUCUUGUACGGGGGCGGGCCCUGGUCCUUGGGGAUGCCAAGCUCCGGCCACCACUCCUCGUCGCCGGACGGCCACCAUGGAGGAGAGAUGCCCUUCUCGAGCGGGAACCUUCGCUGCGGUGGAUCGCAGUGCUGCAUGAGCGCCGAGAGCAGCGAGCCCAGCGUGGUGUCCUGCAGCUCCUGCAGCGAGUGCGGGCUGGCGGUGCCGGAAGCCAGCUCGCUCUCGGAGCCCGGCACGGCGUUGUCGGCCUGGUACUUGGCGAUGGCGGCCGGGCCGUUCCGGUCGAAGCGGACCUUCUCCUUCCACCAGGCACGGAGGUUGUCAGAGGCGCCGCUCACGGGCUUGCCCUUCUCCGGAAUGAUGCCGUAGACGAACCCCUGGGCGCGGCACACCUCCAUCAUCUUGAGCAUGUACUUGAGGAUGCCGUCCUGCGCGCGCGACAUCUUCUUGCGGCGCGCCUGCUCCUGCGACUGCCGCGGCUUCAGUCCGUCGCCAGCCCCGCCGCCGCCGGCGGCCUGCUCCUUGCCGCGGCUCUGCUGCAGCUCCUUGAGGCGCUUGAGCUUCAUGCGGUCGCGCCACAUGCGGCGCUCCAGCUCCUCGAUGUCAUCCACAUCGUCGUCGCUGUCGUCCUCACCGGCGUCCGGGAAGUUGUUCGUGGGGGGGUCCACGAGGUCGCCCUCGCCCAUGACGCACUGGUCGCCGGAGGAUGUCUGCGGCAUAAGGGAGCCGAAGCCGAGGUUCUUGUCGGCGCCGUUCUGCUGGAGCAGAUCCACGAAGUUGUGCACGCCGGAGAACGCCAUGCCCUGAUCCAUCAGCAGCCCACCUCCCAUCAUGGUCACUCAAGCAGCUCUUUUUCUCCACACAAGAAAUUCCACUUCCUUCCACUACUACUUGUAGCUGUGGUGGUGUUCACCUGCACAGAAGCAAGCAAAGAGGCCAGGUUAAUUACAAGGCUUAUUGCUUGCUGA